rnacentral:rRNA from 1 species
GAUUUCUGGCUUGAAACACUAAGCCGGCCACGGUUUCGUGUGUUAGUGCUUGGUGUUCUGGCCAUCCUUCCAAUCGCUGCGUACUUCUCUUCAUUGAUUAGUGCGUAGUAUUGGAUCUUUUACUUUGAAAAAAUUAGAGUGUUUCAAGCAGGCUUUAUGCUAUGAAUACAUUAGCAUGGAAUAAUAAUUUAGGACUUCGGUUCUAUUUUGUUGGUUUCUAGGACUGAAGUAAUGAUUGAUAGGGAUAGUUGGGGGUGCUAGUAUUCAGCGGCCAGAGGUGAAAUUCUCGGAUUCGCUGAAGACUAACUUAUGCGAAAGCAUU